rnacentral:rRNA from 1 species
AUUGAACGCUGGCGGCAGGCCUAACACAUGCAAGUCGAACGAGUGGCGGACGGGUGAGUAAUGUCUGGGAAACUGCCCGAUGGAGGGGGAUAACUACUGGAAACGGUAGCUAAUACCGCAUACCAUCGGAUGUGCCCAGAUGGGAUUAUCUAGUCGGUGGGGUAAUGGCUCACCUAGGCCACGAUCCCUAGCUGGUCUGAGAGGGUGACCGGCCACACUGGAACUGAGACACGGUCUAGAAUCCUACGGGAGGCAGCAGUGGGGAAUAUUGCACAAUGGGCGCAAGCCUGAUGCAGCCAUGCCGCGUGUAUGAAGAAGGCCUUCGGGUUGUAAAGUACUUUCAGCGAGGAGGCGUUACUCGCAGAAGAAGCACCGGCUAACUCCGUGCCAGCAGCCGCGGUAAUAC